GGAGAAGACACAGAGCCAAGCAGGACCUGGCCUGCAGCCCAAACCCUGUGGAAUCCCUACAUUCAAGGACCAGGUUGAAGUGAAGCCAUUGACAGGAACUGAGAUGCAGUAGUGUUCUGGAAGUCAAGUGAGGAGGAGGAUUGAAGAAGAGGUUGGUCAAAAUUCUGGGGGUUGCCCAGUGGAAACACCAGACUGCAAAGCUUUGAGAAGUCUGUAUGAGAUGAACAACUGGAAAAGGUUCUUCGUGAAGAAUUUGUGUGGUGAAGAGCUGGAAUAGCGGCUUGAGGGAGAGAAGCCA
rnacentral:lncRNA from 1 species